CAGAUGCAUUGUCUUGCUCUGGGUUCCAUCACACUGUGAAGUGGAAGUGGCAUCAUGGAGCAACCCUGCAUCACCUCCUGGCAACCAAAGCCCCUGCUUGGCAGAUUCUGUGGAAAGCAUCAGUCCCCAGAUGCUCCGGGUUCUCCUCAGCUCUGUGAUAAUGAACGCACACCCAGCAGACGAGCAGGCAGUGCUGCUCCUGCCCAGCCUCGCUCCUGGAGGUGGCUCAGUGCGUCGGAUCCAGGUCUGACCUGAGGAUGCAAAGGCACAGAGAUGCUCCGCUGCUGCUUUCAGGAGCUGAGGUGUUGAAGACAUAAAUCCAUACAACGGAGGAGCAUCGCAUGGGAAACACUGCCUUCAGGAGAGUUGUAAUGGGUAAACUCGGGCUGAACUGAAUGCUGGCUUCUUUCCAGAUAUGUUUGUUUGAACUAUGUCAUCUAACCUAAUCUGUACAGGAAGUAUAUUUAUCCUAGAGCAGUGGGGCAUUUGUACUGCUUGCUUGUCACCAAGAGUAAUGAACAGGAGAGGUAAGAUAAUUUCAACCACAUUAAGGGCUGAGAGUGACUAUGGGUGUUUUGAUAAUGGGAUGCUAGGAGUGAAUAAACUGAAGUGCUUUUGUUGUGUAUUUUGCUAAUAAUAGACCUUUUGUUAUGGAUUCUUCCUGUGUUUCCUCUGUUCCACUGCUGAGAGGGGGCAGGAGGGGCACAUGAGGACGGGGUGACACCGAGGGCUGGCUGGGAGCCCCCGGUGGGGCUGACCCAAGGAAUUAGGCAUCGGUGUCUGGGACCCCCAGGCAGGGCUGGCUUGGAGCCUCCCCAGGUUGCUGCCUCCCCCAGAGCCUUCUUCUGCAAAUAGAAGGCAGCACUGAGUGAGGGGAGACGUCGCUGGGCACAUCAGCACCAGGGAUGAGGCAACGUUCCUAGUCACAAAUAUGACCGUUAACUGGGACUUAUUUUUAUUUUCUUCUAGUGUUUUGCUGAUGAAGCUGACAAUCUCCAGAAGCUGCUUCCUGCCUUUGUUUGGUGACCAGCCCUCCUGCAGGUGAGACAAGUUAUCCUCUGCUGUUUGGUAUUCAGCUGUGGAAGGAGCCCUCCCGCAGUCCUGCUAGGUGUCCUGGUUUCUCUGAGUCUGAUUCUCCCUUUUUCAGUAACUUUGGUUACUGCCUUUGCUACCUUUCAUCUACCGAUUUCAUAGCACUCUACAAUUGUCAGGAGUCAUUUGAAUUCUGAUCCUGCCCUUAGAAGUCCCUGCAACCCUUCCAGCCAUCACCAAUUGUAUCUGUGUCACCUCUGCUGCAGCACUGGAGCCUGCACAGGGCACCUGGGAGCCAUUCAGCCACCCUUUAUCUUCACAGGGGGCACUCGAAACACUUUGGUGAUUUUCACUGUAUUUUUAUGUUAAUUUUAUUUAGACUUUGCUUGUUGAGCUUUACUUGUGAGCCCACAUUCAGGU